rnacentral:tRNA from 1 species
CGGAAUUUAGCUUAAGGGUAAGGUAAAGCACUCGGCUCAUAACCGAUUGACUGCAGGUUCGAGUCCUGCAAUUCCGACCA